UCUGCAGUCGUAGACUUCGGUCUGCUACCUCUUACCCAUGUCUUUUGAGUACCUUCGUUUCCUCGGCGGGUCCGCCCGCCGAUUGGACAACAUUCAAACCCUUUGCAGUUGCAAUCAGCGUCUGAAAAAACAUAAUAGUUACAACUUUCAACAACGGAUCUCUUGGUUCUGGCAUCGAUGAAGAACGCAGCGAAAUGCGAUAAGUAGUGUGAAUUGCAGAAUUCAGUGAAUCAUCGAAUCUUUGAACGCACAUUGCGCCCCUUGGUAUUCCAUGGGGCAUGCCUGUUCGAGCGUCAUUUGUACCUUCAAGCUCUGCUUGGUGUUGGGUGUUUUGUCUCGCCUCUGCGUGUAGACUCGCCUUAAAACAAUUGGCAGCCGGCGUAUUGAUUUCGGAGCGCAGUACAUCUCGCGCUUUGCACUCAUAACGGCGACGUCCAAAAGUACAUUUUUACACUCUUGACCUCGGAUCAGGUAGGGAUACCCGCUGAACUUAAGCAUAUCUAAAACGCGCGAGGAGGGAA
rnacentral:rRNA from 1 species